GUGAGGAAUAUUGGUCAAUGGGCGCAAGCCUGAACCAGCCAUCCCGCGUGCAGGAAGACGGCCCUAUGGGUUGUAAACUGCUUUUCCAGGGGGAGAAAUUCCCGUACGUGUACGGGAUUGACGGUACCCUGGGAAUAAGCAUCGGCUAACUCCGUGCCAGCAGCCGCGGUAAUACGGAGGAUGCGAGCGUUAUCCGGAUUCAUUGGGUUUAAAGGGUGCGUAGGCGGACUAUUAAGUCAGUGGUGAAAUCCUGCAGCUUAACUGCAGAACUGCCAUUGAUACUGAUAGCCUUGAGUUUGGUUAAGGUAGGCGGAAUGUGUAAUGUAGCGGUGAAAUGCUUAGAUAUUACACAGAACACCAAUUGCGUAGGCAGCUUACUGAGCCGACACUGACGCUGAGGCACGAAAGCGUGGGGAUCGAACAGGAUUAGAAACCCGAGUAGUCC
rnacentral:rRNA from 1 species